rfam:Myotis davidii contig121333, whole genome shotgun sequence.
AGUAGGUAGCUCAGUGGUUAAGAGUGUAUUGCCUUUGAAGCCACAUAGAACUGAGUUCAAAUCUCAGCUCUGCCA